rnacentral:rRNA from 1 species
CACGUAGGCACCAAGCGUUAUCCGGAUUUAUUGGGCGUAAAGAGCUCGUAGGCGGUUCGGUAAGUCGGGUGUGAAAACUCUGGGCUCAACCCAGAGAGGCCACCCGAUACUGCUGUGACUAGAGUGCGGUAGGGGAGCGGGGAAUUCCUGGUGUAGCGGUGAAAUGCGCAGAUAUCAGGAGGAACACCAGCGGCGAAGGCGACUACCUGGCCUGUUCUUGACGCUGAGGCGCGAAAGCUAGGGGAGCAAACGGG